rnacentral:lncRNA from 1 species
GUGAACUACAGAUUUACAAUAAAACCAUCAAGCCAUCAAAAUUGACUAUCAGCUUUAAAGGCACAAUUUCUUAUAUGUGUAGUAUAUAAAAUGUGAAAGGACUUUUAUUUUGAACCGGGAAUGGGGAUGAAGACGCAGAGAAGCAGAGACUGGGAGGGAGAUACUUUGGAGGGAGCUUGCGACUUGGUCAGCCUUUAGUAAGAAAUGCCAAAACAAACAGAGGUGUUCACUUCAGAGAAACAGAAACAGGGGCAUUUCGCUCGCUGCUGAGGUCUCGUUCAAAUUCUCCUCUUUCUGCUGGACGCACAUCAACUUCAGCAGUAACAGGACCCAGAUGGUGAGGACUUGCAAUAUAUACAUGCCUUUCCUCCAAAAACACCAUGUGAUCUCUGUUGUUAUGAGUUGCUUUUAGCCUUCCGUCACAGACAACAUCUACAAGUUUACCUGUUGGAUUACGGAGAGAUAGAGAGAUAGAGAGAGAUAUGCUUGGAAACACUAAAUACAAACUCAUGUGUAACGUUGCAGUUGGGGUGUGAUGUGAACUAAUGGGUGUUUACUGUAGUACAUUACUUCUCUGAUCUGCCUGUCAUCAUGUCGUAUUUGAAUGAGAGUC